rnacentral:rRNA from 1 species
GAUGAACGCUGGCGGCGUGCCUAAUACAUGCAAGUCGAGCGAACAGACGCGGAGCUUGCUCUUCUGACGUUAGCGGCGGACGGGUGAGUAACACGUGGAUAACCCAGCUAUAAGACUUGGAUAACUUCGGGAAACCCGAGCUAAUACCGGAUAAUAUAUUGAACCGCAUGGUUCAAUAGUGUAAUACGGUUUUGCUGUCAUUUCUACAUAGAACCGCGCCGCUUUAGUUAGUUGGUACGGUAACGGCUUCCCAAAGCAGCGAUGGGUAGCCGAACUGGGAGGGUGAUGCGCCACUCUGAGAGUGUAACGCGGUCCAGGCUCCGACGGGAGGCAGCGGUAGGGAAGCGUCGGAGAUGGGCGGAAGCCUGACGGAUCGGCGCCGCGUGGAUGAUGAGAGUCUUCGUGUCGUAAGACGCUGUUAUGAGUGAAGAACAAAUGUGUAAGUGACUAUGCACGUCGUGACGGUACCUAGACAAAAAGCCACGGCUAACUACGUG